rnacentral:rRNA from 1 species
UACGAAGGGGGCUAGCGUUGUUCGGAAUUACUGGGCGUAAAGCGCGCGUAGGCGGUCUUGCAAGUCAGAGGUGAAAGGCCUGGGCUUAACCCGGGAGUGGCCUUUGAGACUGCAUGGCUAGAGAGUGGGAGAGGAUGGUGGAAUUCCCAGUGUAGAGGUGAAAUUCGUAGAUAUUGGGAAGAACACCGGUUGCGAAGGCGGCCAUCUGGCCCACCACUGACGCUGAAGCGCGAAAGCGUGGGGAGCAAACAGG